rnacentral:rRNA from 1 species
GAUGAACGCUGGCGGCGUGCCUAAUACAUGCAAGUCGAGCGACCAGACGAGGAGCUUGUUCCUCUAACGUUAGCGGCGGACGGGUGAGUAACACGUGGAUAACCUACCUAUAAGACUGGGAUAACUUCGGGAAACCGGAGACAAUACCGGCUAAUAUAUUGAACCGCAUGGUUCAAUAGUGAAAGACGGUUUUGCUGUCACUUAUAGAUGGAUCCGCGCCGCAUUAGCUAGUUGGUAAGGUAACGGCUUACCAAGGCAACGAUGCGUAGCCGACCUGAGAGGGUGAUCAGCCACACUGGAACUGAGACACGGUCCAGACUCCUACGGGAGGCAGCAGUAGGGAAUCUUCCGCAAUGGGCGAAAGCCUGACGGAGCAACGCCGCGUGGGUGAAGAAGGUCUUCGGAUCGUAAAACUCUGUUAUUAGGGAAGAAAAGAUGUAUAAUAAACUAUGCACGUCUUGACGGUACCUAAUCAGAAAGCCACGGCUAACUACGUG